AGAAUCUAUUGCGUCUGCUGUUGGUGAUGUGCAGUUGCAGUUUGCCAAUGGAUUCAGGUGAUCGGAGAGCUCCGCAGAGCAGCGGUGAUUCCUUCUAGCGCAACGUGGAUUUUAUUCGGACGGACAAGUAGGGCGGAUUCGAACGAAGCUAUUGAGAGGUGCCGUGGCGUAAUCGUGAAGCCAAGCCGGCUGCGGCGCCGACGACACAUAGGGCAUUAGUUGAGUUGCGGCAACCCCGGAAUCCUGCGCCAUUGCCAUGGAUCUGGAGGUUUUCAUUGGUAGCGCACAGUUGUAUGUACCACAUUCUUUCCGAGGUCGAAAAAUGGGCUCAGCUCAUACCGGUGUCGCGUUCUUUAAUCCAAAAAAGCAAUCAAACGCAUUUCAUGCAGCACACAAGGGUGUUGGUAGUGCACAUGAGUGAAUGCUUGGAAAUUAUUUGUGUGGUGGUUGUGCUGGAUGUGGUUUCGGAGAUCACCCUGUGUUGCAGGUUGGGGUCAUUGGGACGGUUGUGAAUUGGUUGGAAUCAACGUUUGAAGUGUUUGAUGUUGCCCAGUGGGUUGAACGUCUCCUGGUCGGCGGACAUCGACAUGUAUGUUUAGAAUGUCCGGAGACAUUGGUUGUUCCAAUCCGGGUGUUAAUGUAUAUUAAUUGUAGCAGUGACAUGUAUUUGGCAGCGAGUUGGUUGUUUGGUAGAGUUGUAAGAAUUGGAUUUGGUGUUGGAUGAUGAAAUGGAUGUUGGUUUUAGAUAGAAUAGUAUUUUUGUGCUUUUUCAGUAUUCCCUUUGAUUUUCAUAUUGAAGAAUCACGGUGACAAGAUUAGACUUGCAGAAUGCGUUAUUCUGUCUUCUCCAGGUAUGUAGAACGUAUAUUGAAGCUCGCUUUCCUGCAUGACCGCUUGAUUUUCCUUACCGCUUCAUGGGCAAAAGGGGAUAAUAUGGCUCCACAUAUGGAACAGUGCAGAUCUGUAUGUUUAGGCUUUAGAUGCCUAGACUUAGCAAAUUGAAAGAUGAAAGGUCAAAGGAACCAUCAUUCAACAGCACAAAAUUGCAUUGUGUCUCGUCGAAAUUAUUAUCAUCCUUGUCGGUCACAUGAUGCACAAUCGGGGUUUCAUGAGGCUCCUCGACUGCAUCUUGUAAGGAAGCAAAAUGGCUUUGUCCUCGAGGAGGCACGCAAACUGGUCUGCAAGUGGGUUUACUAACCCAGCAACCAAGCAAUACAUACUGUAUCUUGCCAUCACCAGCAAGCUGUGACGCCUCCAAUUCAUCCUUCGGUUCUGACACAAGCAUCACACUUAUUGUCUCCGGCUUUCUGAAUUGAAAUCUCUCUCAGCCCUGUUAUCACUUGCCGAUCUGCGGCGAGAUGACAAUAAUACAAAAUUAUUCAAACAUCAGCUCGCAUCUCACAAGUGCACUGUCUCGCAUGCAACCGACAGUAAUAGAGAAUUGUUUUGAGCAACGUUUUUAUCCAUCCGUGGAUAUGGUCCGGCCACAAAUCAGUACCCAUUUCAUCCACGAUGUGACCGGAUCCCGAGCACGAGCGGGCUAGGGUUGUUUGCUCUGGUCACCCUCACCACAUGCUAUGUGCUUUGUUGCUUCUGCGCAAGCUAUUCCUUUCGUGUUGUGAUUUUAUAUUUAGGCUCGUGCGACUGGCACCAGCACGUCAGUCGCUUGUGGAGAUUUUGUUGUUCAGAAGAAGGUAUCAUGUAGUGCGAUUCUGAUCCGGGGGGAGGGGUGUGGUACUGAGGAUGUCGUGGGUUGAGCGGACUGCAGUAUGAGUGCAAGUGUUGGAGGAUUCUAGCGUCAAGGCGUUAACUGGAUUUGAAGCAAUAUGGUGAUAACAGCUCUACUUGGCUGAGCUCUCUCGUAGCUCUGCCACUACUUCUUCAAAUCUGAAAAGGCGUCUUGAUGGGCUUUGCGCUGGGAUCGACCAUCAAUGCGGGGUCGGCUAUGGUGGGCUCCGCUGUUGCAAUGGAGUCGCGAGCUGAUACAAGAUCAGUUGUGGCAGGCUCCCCUGUUGCAGUGGAAUCGCCAGCUAAUGCAAGAUCGGCCGUGGCGGGUUGCACUACUGCAAUGGCGUCAAUCUGUGUAUUGUGAUAUUUCAUGGAUUUAGAUUGAGGUAGCUUACUAUGUAUUCUCCCACUCCAUGAUGUAUCAAAAUAUGGUUAUUGUAGAAGGUUUGGUGAUUUUGAGUAGACCAGCAAUGCUUGAAUUAUUGUAGAAUAGGUUUCUUGUUUUGAAUUGAGAGGAAUAGGAUACAUGCCUAAUUGAGAUAGGCAUUGAAAAUGUUUCUCUUUGGGAAGAGAUUUUGUAAAUACAUUUGCUGUCAUAUGUGUUGUUGGCACAUAUUAUAAUUUAAUUUCCUUGGCAAGUAUCUUUUCUCCUA